rnacentral:rRNA from 1 species
UACGUAGGGGACAAGCGUUGUCCGGAAUUAUUGGGCGUAAAGGGCGCGUAGGCGGCCUGUUAAGUCGAACGUGAAAUCCCCGGGCUCAACCCGGGAACUGCGUCCGAUACUGGCAGGCUUGAAUCCGGGAGAGGGAUGCGGAAUUCCAGGUGUAGCGGUGAAAUGCGUAGAUAUCUGGAGGAACACCGGUGGCGAAGGCGGCAUCCUGGACCGGCAUUGACGCUGAGGCGCGAAAGCCAGGGGAGCAAACGGG